GAUGAACGCUGGCGGCGUGCCUAAUACAUGCAAGUCGAGCGAACGGACGAGAAGCUUGCUUCUCUGAUGUUAGCGGCGGACGGGUGAGUAACACGUGGAUAACCUACCUAUAAGACUGGGAUAACUUCGGGAAACCGGAGCUAAUACCGGAUGAUGUUUUGAACCGCAUGGUUCAAAAGUGAAAGACGGUCUUGCUGUCACUUAUAGAUGGAUCCGCGCUGCAUUAGCUAGUUGGUAAGGUAACGGCUUACCAAGGCAACGAUGCAUAGCCGACCUGAGAGGGUGAUCGGCCACACUGGAACUGAGACACGGUCCAGACUCCUACGGGAGGCAGCAGUAGGGAAUCUUCCGCAAUGGGCGAAAGCCUGACGGAGCAACGCCGCGUGAGUGAUGAAGGUCUUCGGAUCGUAAAACUCUGUUAUUAGGGAAGAACAUAUGUGUAAGUAACUGUGCACAUCUUGACGGUACCUAAUCAGAAAGCCACGGCUAACUACGUG
rnacentral:rRNA from 1 species